CAGCGGUUAGUGCUUUGCUUACAGAGGCCGCAGUCGUCGGAGCAGGCGCAGAGGCCGGAGGACCACUUGCCGACGACCGGCCCGACCGCGACCGCGCCGGGGCUGCUGAUGGGGAUGCCGACCACCGGCUGCGCCAUCUCGGCCGCUGGCUGGCUGGAGGAGGCGGCGGGCUUGGCCGGAUACAUUUCGUCCCUUCACUUGUUGCACAGAGUCUCUUGGUGGCGUGGCGUACGAACGCCGAGGCUCUCAAUCGGUCGUCCGUGCCGAUGCAAGUUGUUGCUGCGGGUUGUGUCUGCCUCGGCCGGCGCUCGCUUAAUUUGCCG
rnacentral:misc_RNA from 1 species